ensembl:misc_RNA Metazoa_SRP Metazoan signal recognition particle RNA
GUCGGGCAUGGUGGUGCAUGUCUGUAAUUCAUGUGUCUGGGAAACUUAGACUGAAGGACUGCUUGAACUUGGGGGUUUGGUGCUGCAGUCCACUAUGUUGAAUAGGGGUCCUUCACACGGCCAACAUCACCAUGGUCAGUUCCAGGGAGCUGGAGGUCACCAGGUUGGGGUGAAGGAGGGGUGGACCAACCCAGGCUGGUAAGGAGGGGUGAACCAACCCAGGCGGGUAACAGAGCAGGUUAAAUCCCCUGUGUUGGCAGGUGUGGGGACAGCCCCUGUGAAUAGAACCUGCAGUGUUACCUGUGCAAGACAGCGGAAUGCAGCCUUUU